rnacentral:rRNA from 1 species
UCCAGACUCCUACGGGAGGCAGCAGUGGGGGAUAUUGCACAAUGGGGGGAACCCUGAUGCAGCGACGCCGCGUGGGUGAAGGAGCGUUUCGGCGCGUAAAGCCCUAUCGGCAGGGAAGAAGGAGGACGGUACCUGACUAAGAAGCCCCGGCUAACUACGCGCCAGCAGCCGCGGUAAUACGUAGGGGGCAAGCGUUAUCCGGAUUUACUGGGUGUAAAGGGGGCGCAGACGGCAGCGCAAGCCAGGAGUGAAAGCCCGGGGCCCAACCCCGGGACUGCUCUUGGAACUGCGCGGCUGGAGUGCAGGAGGGGCAGGCGGAAUUCCUGGUGUAGCGGUGAAAUGCGUAGAUAUCAGGAGGAACACCGGUGGCGAAGGCGGCCUGCUGGACUGCGACUGACGUUGAGGCCCGAAAGCGUGGGGAGCAAACAGGAUUAGAUACCCGCGUAA